rnacentral:rRNA from 1 species
UACGUAGGGUGCAAGCGUUAUCCGGAAUUAUUGGGCGUAAAGAGCUCGUAGGCGGUUUGUCGCGUCUGCUGUGAAAACUGGAGGCUCAACCUCCAGCCUGCAGUGGGGUACGGGCAGACUAGAGUGCGGUAGGGGAGAUUGGAAUUCCUGGUGUAGCGGUGGAUGCGCAGAUAUCAGGAGGAACACCGAUGCGAAGGCAGAUCUCUGGGC